rnacentral:rRNA from 1 species
AUUGAACGCUGGCGGCAUGCCUUACACACGCAAGUCGAACGGCAGCACGGGAGCAAUCCUGGUGGCGAGUGGCGAACGGGUGGGUAAUAUAUCGGAACGUGCCCAGUCGUGGGGGAUAACGCAGCGAAAGCUGUGCUAAUACCGCAUACGAUCUACGGAUGAAAGCGGGGGAUCGCAAGACCUCGCGCGAUUGGAGCGGCCGGUAUCAGAUUAGCUAGUUGGUGAGGUAAAGGCUCACCAAGGCGACGAUCUGUAGCUUGUCUGAGAGGACGACCAGCCACACUGGAACUGAGACACGGUCCAGACUCCUACGGGAGGCAGCAGUGGGGAAUUUUGGACAAUGGGCGAAAGCCUGAUCCAGCAAUGCCGCGUGCAGGAUGAAGGCCUUCGGGUUGUAAACUGCUUUUGUACGGAACGAAACGGUGAGCUCUAAUACAGUUUGCUAAUGACGGUACCGUAAGAAUAAGCACCGGCUAACUACGUGCCAGCCGCCGCAGUAA